CAGAACAUAACCAGCAGCGAGGUUUAGAGUUCCUACGUUCAAUAUUUAAUUCGUAGGAACUUCAUACCGUGCUCUUGGAAUGUUUUAAUUC
rnacentral:pre_miRNA from 1 species